CCCCCGAGCAGGGGCAGGCAACCCUGGUCCUAGAGAGCUGCAGUCCUGCUUGAUUUCCAACUAAAAUGGUAAAUGGCCUGUAUUUGUUAUAGCGCCUUCUAGAGUCCUGAAACCCCCCAAGGUGCUUUACAACACAACCAGUCAUUCACCCAUUCACACACACAUUCACACGCUGGUGGGGAUGAACUACGAUGUAGCCACAGCUGCCCUGGGGCGCACUGACAGAGGCGAGGCUGCCGAGCACUGGCGCCACCGGUCCCUCCGACCACCACCAGCAGGCAACGUGGGUUAAUGGUAGAGUGUCCGCCCUGAGAUCGGGAGAUCAGGGGUUCGACUCCUGGUCGGGUCAUACCAAAGACUUUGAAAAAAAAAUGGGACCCAAUGCCUCCCUGCUUGACACUCAGCAUUAAGGGGUUGGAUUGGGGGGUUAAACCACCAAAUGGUUCCCGAGCGCGGCUUGUCUGCAGCUCACCGCUCCCCCAGGGGAUGGGUCAAAUGCGGAGAAUAAAUUUCACCACACACCUGUGUGUGCGUGUGACGACUAAAUGGGACUUUAAUCUUUAAUCUUAAGUGCCUUGCCCAAGGACACAACGACAGCGACAGACUGAGCGGGGCUCGAACCUGCAACCUUCCGAUUACGGGGCGAGCACUUAACUCCUGUGCCACCGUCGCCCCAAACUACCUUUGUUGUUCCUGUUGUUGAUUACCUGGAUCAGGUGUGCUCAAGCAAUUAGAAGCUGCAAGUUCAUGCAUGGCUGGAAAGCGUGCAGGACUGUGGCUCUGCAGGACCAGGGUUGUCUACCCCAGCCCUAGAGUCUUUUUUAACUCACUCUCGUCAAACCGAAAGUGAAACUCUUCUCCUCUAUAUGUGUUUUACUUACCCCGUCUCAUGUUUUUUUUUCCUUUGCGCUUUUAGAUAAGUUCACUUUUAUUUUUUAUUAUUUCAUGUUUAAAUUAGCAUAUGUGUAAAUUUAAACAUGUGAUGCGUUAAACAUCAGUCUGAGUGAAUUGACCCUUGCAACACAAAGUUGCAAUUUUUACACAACAAGUUAAAACUUAUUACAACCAACAAGAAGAUGUUGGUCAGUCUGGUUUUUGAUCAUGUGUUCACAAGAUUCCAAUCCUUGCAUGUUUUUGGGUUUUUGUGGUUUUUAGUGUUUAAACCAGAUGAACAAGAUCAACCUAUGAUUGAAGGCAGUGCAGCAGGAUUUUGUUAACUAACUUUGAUUGCUCAUUAAAUGUAUUUUAGAUGGUGUGUUAUAUAUACAUGUUAUGACAAAAUUCCAAAAGAGUUUGUGACUUCAGGAGAAAUUAGUCAUUUUGUCAUUGUAGGCCUUUAAUCUUAAACAACUGUUGUUACAGCCGGGAGUCUAAAAUGCCUUAAUGCAAAUUAACUUUUAUGAAACUAUGUUUCAAAACGUGAAACUGCUUUUGCAUGAUCACUCAAGUGGAUGUAGGGGAAAGCUAAUGAAACUAUAUGUGAGGGCUUUAGUGGUACAUUGCUGUUAUAAAAUAUUGCACAAGUGGUGUCUCAGAUGAAACUUGUUUUUUAUUUAGAGCGAUAACAACUGGGAUCUGAGCCUGAAUGUCCAAAUGCGUUUGAUUGCUUUUUAAAAUGUUUUUUACUUUUAUGCAUUCCGUGGCAAAGCAGGGCUUAAAUGCAAAAAAGGCACUUUCCACGCAAAAUCACACAUUGUGCAAUGUGCAAAUACUGUGGUCAGGUCAGUAAUUUGAUAUGCAAUCAUCUUUGUGUUAUCAGUACUUCAGUUUUUCUUAAAAAAAUCACUUCUUUCAGCAAAAAUCUGUGGUAACUUCUGCUUUAGAGACUAGCAGGAAGCCAAAUCUCAGCACACAACAGGUAUAAAUGUUUCAUCUUUCCUUUGACAUUGAUUGGAGCUCGAGUCUCUAAAUAUUGCAUGAUCGUCCUCAUUGCAAGCACGGGACAGUCGUAGAUGUCUAUCACGACAGAGGAAAUGUGGGACGUGUUGAAAGGGCCUUUGUUGCACCGUAGACAGCAAUGAGUCACAUUCAAACCUGUUUACAAGUCUGACUGUCUGUUUCCUGAUAAUGUGGGUCAGAGGAAAUCCAUCAAGGUGGUGAGACAAGGAGACAAAAAAUAUCAUUCCCUGUUCCACAUGCUUGGUUGUCAGUCUGUGUGCUCUUUUUUCUUAUCACAGUAGUUCUCAUUAGCUCCAGGUCCUAGCUCUCCAGACAUAUAUUUUGUUUGCAGCUUUAGCAACCUUGUCAGCUCCCCUGUAGCAUGUCUGAUUGGAUCCAAAGGCUCUGUAUUUUCUUUGUUUUCUGCUAUGAAUUAUAGAUGCAGGAAUAUGCUCCUGUGUGUCACUGGCUUUGCAUGAACACUUGCGACUUUGAGACACACAUAUUUGCUGAAACACCUGCAUAAGUUUUGAUGUAAUCCCUAACUGUGAGCAAACAGUACAUAACAAAAACACACACAACACUAUAGGCCCACACAGACAUACAUGCAUCUGUCAAGUAGCAUCUUUUUAGACCCUUGACAGCUUUUUUUCAUCAGUGCUCCAAAAACAAAUGUAUACAUGUACUUUUUUGGUUUCCUGAGCUACGACCGUCAGAUCCAAACUCACUGCAUUCACAUGCCUGUUUGUUACUAACGCUUCCCUCUGAACAAGCACAGACACACUGUACUUGGAUGAUAAUCACCAUAUUCACAGUUACAUCAGCCCAUGGGGAUGAACCUGUUCUGUCUUUGUUUCUACUGUUGCUUUUGUCUUUUAUCAGCUCAAGAGUCGCUAAACCUCACACGGAUUCCUUACAGGUUCUGUCUUAAAAACUAGGACAUGGUAUAGGUUGUUACAUUUGAUUCAUUUCUUCUGAAAUGUUCAGUUCGCAUUAGAAUAGAAUAGAAUAGACUUUAUUGAUCCAACAGUGGGGAAAUUAUCUUGUUACAGCAGCACCAACACUUAAGAGAAUAAGUUGAAGAAAAAUAAUAACAAAGGUAGAUGUAUAUACCCAUAGGCAGUAGUCUAGAAUUAUAACCUUCGACUGCUAAAAGCCAAGAAUAAAAAAAGAAAAAACUUGGGUUCCAACACUAUGCAGCAUACUGCAAGAGACACGGACACACUACGUAAAUCCGGUAUUGAAUGAGUAUUGAACACAUACUGAGUAUUGCAUUGGUGUUACUGUGUAACAGGAUAAUGCCAGUACAUCUUAAACUUAUGCCUGAUUUAUGCUUCUCCGUCUGCGUCAGUGCUGAGACACGCAACGCCAUUAUCCGUCCUUGCAUAGGGCUCCGGCAGGCACGCAAGUACGUACGGAGUCGAACCCACUUUUUUAAACAUCCGUCGAACGAGACGGAUUACGCAAGCUUGUGAUUGGUCAGGACGCCGUUGUUGUUUACAGUGCCGCCAUUGCAAAGAGAGCCGAGUUUAACUAGCGGCAGACACGGAGAAGCUUGAAGAAUACCUCGCGAAAAACUCUAAAAAUAUGAAUGUUUCAUCCUCCCGUGACUGGAGGAGUGAAAAGAUGCGCAGCAAGCGUUUUAUUUGUGGACGGAAAUGACAGGAAACGUGGGUUUAGAGGUGGGAAGCGCUUGAAGCGGUGGGAGAAUGAGAGACAAAUAUGUCCGUGUUAAAAGUCUCUUAUAUACA